CAUCCCGGUGUUCAGAGUUGCACUAUUUACAAUAGCCAAGACACGGAAGCAAGCUAAGUGUGCAUUGACGAUAACUGGAUAAAGACCUUGUGAUGUGUGUGUGUGUAUAUAUAUACACAUACAUACAGUGGAAUACUACUCAGCCA